rnacentral:rRNA from 1 species
GACGAACGCUGGCGGCGUGCCUAACACAUGCAAGUCGAACGGAAAGGCCGUACUUUUGUGCUCUGCUCGAGUGGCGAACGGGUGAGUAACACGUGAGUAACCUGCCCUUGACUUUGGGAUAACUUCAGGAAACGGGAGCUAAUACCGCAUAGGAUCUCCUGUUGCAUGGUAGGCAGUGGAAAGUUGCGGCGGUUGCGGUUGGACUUGCGGCUGAUCAGCUUGUUGGUGGGGUAGCGGCUUACCAACGCUUUGACGGGUAGCCGGCCUGGGAGGGUGACCGGGCACAUUGGGACUGAGAUAGGGCCCAGAGGGCAACGGGAGGCAGCAGUGGGAAACAUUGCACAAUGGGCCGAAGCCGGAUACAGGGACGUCGGGUGCGAGAUGACGGUUUUAGGGGUAUAAACCGCGUUAGCCUGUGACGAAGCGUGUGUGACGGUAACGGAUAAAGAAGCACCGGCUAACUACGUG